GCGGCGUUUGAUGACGACAGUUAUAACAAGAAUAUUUCCAACAAACCCCAUUAUAAAAAUAGCAGUUAGUAAAAUCACAGCUACUACUACGUAACAUGGCGAAUAAUGUUCAAAAUCCACUACACACAUGCAUUCCGUCUUAUUACCGUUUGUUAUGUUACAUGUAAUGUUUUCCGAACCGUCCCCAGACUCCAUCUGAAAG
rnacentral:lncRNA from 1 species